rnacentral:rRNA from 3 species
CCGAACCGACUAAUGUUGAAAAAUUAGCGGAUGACCUGUGGCUGGGGGUGAAAGGCCAAUCAAACCGGGAGAUAGCUGGUUCUCCCCGAAAGCUAUUUAGGUAGCGCCUCGUGAAUUCAUCUCCGGGGGUAGAGCACUGUUUCGGCUAGGGGGCCAUCCCGGCUUACCAACCCGAUGCAAACUGCGAAUACCGGAGAAUGUUAUCACGGGAGACACACGGCGGGUGCUAACGUCCGUCGUGAAGAGGGAAACAACCCAGACCGCCAGCUAAGGUCCCAAAGUCAUGGUUAAGUGGGAAACGAUGUGGGAAGGCCCAGACAGCCAGGAUGUUGGCUUAGAAGCAGCCAUCAUUUAAAGAAAGCGUAAUAGCUCACUGGUCGAGUCGGCCUGCGCGGAAGAUGUAACGGGGCUAAACCAUGCACCGAAGCUGCGGCAGCGACACUGUG